GACGAACGCUGGCGGCAUGCCUAAUACAUGCAAGUCGAACGCGACCAGCCGGUGCUUGCACUGGCGAAGUCGAGUGGCGAACGGGUGAGUAACACGUGAGAAACCUACCCUGGAGUGGGGAAUAACUCGAAGAAAUUCGAGCUAAUACCGCAUACCUUCUUACCGUCGAAUGGUGGUUUGAAGAAAGAUUUAUCGCUCUGGGAGGGUCUCGCGGCCUAUCAGCUAGUUGGUGAGGUAACGGCUCACCAAGGCAUCGACGGGUAGCUGGUCUGAGAGGACGAUCAGCCACACUGGAACUGAGACACGGUCCAGACUCCUACGGGAGGCAGCAGUAGGGAAUCUUGCGCAAUGGGCGAAAGCCUGACGCAGCAAUGCCGCGUGCGGGACGAAGGCCCUAGGGUCGUAAACCGCUUUCAGUAGGGACGAAAAUGACGGUACCUGCAGAGAAGCUCCGGCCAACUACGUGCCAGCAGCCGCGGUAAU
rnacentral:rRNA from 1 species